rnacentral:rRNA from 1 species
GCUUAACCGGAGAAGUGCAUCGGAAACCGGGAGACUUGAGUGCAGAAGAGGACAGUGGGACUCCAUGUGUAGCGGUGAAAUGCGUAGAUAUAUGGAAGAACACCAGUGGCGAAGGCGGCUGUCUGGUCUGCAACUGACGCUGAGGCUCGAAAGCAUGGGUAGCGAACAGGAUUAGAUACCCUGGUAGUCCAUGCCGUAAACGAUGAGUGCUAAGUGUUGGAGGGUUUCCGCCCUUCAGUGCUGCAGCUAACGCAUUAAGCACUCCGCCUGGGGAGUACGACCGCAAGGUUGAAACUCAAAGGAAUUGACGGGGGCCCGCACAAGCGGUGGAGCAUGUGGUUUAAUUCGAUGCUACGCGAAGAACCUUACCAGGUCUUGACAUCUUCUGCCAACCUAAGAGAUUAGGCGUUCCCUUCGGGGACAGAAUGACAGGUGGUGCAUGGUUGUCGUCAGCUCGUGUCGUGAGAUGUUGGGUUAAGUCCCGCAACGAGCGCAACCCUUAUUGUUAGUUGCCAGCAUUUAGUUGGGCACUCUAGCAAGACUGCCGGUGACAAACCGGAGGAAGGUGGGGAUGACGUCAAAUCAUCAUGCCCCUUAUGACCUGGGCUACACACGUGCUACAAUGGACGGUACAACG